UUGACUCUGGGAACAGGAACUAGACCUGACCCUGAUGAUCUGAGGGAUCUGGUUCUUAACCAACCAGCAGAUCCUGAUUGUAUGUUGGCCCUAAACUAUUCAGGUCUUUGUAAAAUAA